AUGAACCAUAUGUAUAUCUCUCUCUAUCAAUGCAUAUCAUUAUUAUUAUUUCCUUUCAUUAAUCUAAAACUUUUCUAUAGUCGUCACGACCAUUACUAAGAACAAUAAUGUAAUAUUAUUAUUUGCUGUCGUGAACAUUUUUAUCUUUAGUUCUUCUAUUUCGGUUUACAUCGUUCUGAUGAAUGACGUGGAAGCUAAAGUGCGUGAAAGUAAAAAAUAAAAAUAAACAAAUCUUUUUUGCUUGUCCAUAUGAAAAAAAAAAACUAAAAUGUUCACACUAUCCAAAAGAAAAAUACAAAAUAACAAAAACGUGAAUUGGUGGCCUAAGUGCCACUCAACACUAGUAAUGAACCUUUGCCUAAUUCAGUGGUUAACUCUUCACGGGUUUCACUUUCCCUUUUAUUUCUC
rnacentral:lncRNA from 1 species